GUUAAAUUCACCAAUACCUCCACCCGCGUAAGUUUUCCUAUGAAAAUUCACCUGUGACGAAGGAAUGUGACACAUGUGGCCAGGAUUAAUGUGCAAACAAAGUAUAUUGUUUCUAUUAUUUUCUAUGAAACACGUGGUAUCCAUAGAUGGGACAAUAUAUCUACUUUUACUUUGCAAAUGAGCUGAUUGUACCUUGAUUUCACGCAUCUACCACGACUAAAUUGACCGUUAUGUAGUACAGAUAUGUGUAUAAGUGAAAAAGGUAAGAUUGUCAAAAUUGAAGGUUUCUUAUAUACAAUCAUUAUUUUAUUUUAGCAUUUUAAAUCACAGUAUCGCACAUACAUAUUAUGUCGACUGUUGUUUACACAUGUAUACCUGUGACCUAUGAUACACAUGAUAUAUAUUUCUGAUAGAUAUAUAUUGCGAUGACAGAUAAUAUUUUCGGCUCAAAGUAAACAAACACCUAAACCGCUAUCAAUUCAUUGAUUUUAUCAGGACAUUCUGUCUGAAUACCAGUGUUGUCAGACUGAAUGUGAACAUAAAUGUACAAUAACUGUCUCGUCCUGAAUAUGAACAUACAUGUACAAUAACUGUCUCGUCCUGAAUAUCACGAAAUAAAUGCCACUGGACAUUGAGCAAGCAACAAUCAAUCAAUCAAAAUUACUUCUUUAGCGGGGAAAUUUAAUAAAAAGAAAUGCGACACACUGAAAACUAGAUUUAAAUACACUCAAUUUCAAUUUUACACUGACUGUACUAGCACCUAGCAAGGACAUAAACUGUUACUCAACUGUGUAUGAAAACAUUUAAACUCUGGCUAGAAAUAUGUGUUAUGAGAUGCACUUGCUGCGCACAAAAAGGAUAAAAACUUGAUCACAAGUACAGUAUAAGUAAACUUUUAAAAAUAAAACAAUUCCUUACUACUAGUAUAUCAUCUUAGUAAUACUAUUGUAUGACUUAUAAGAAUUUAAAAUUAAUCAUCUAUUUUUUAGAAGUUUUAAGAUAUCAGUUAUAAUUGAAUGAAUAAUGACAAGAUUUCCAUAUAGAAAAUUAAACUGUGAAGAAAAUUUUAUGUAUAAUUAUAUGUUAAAAAUUUUCCUAAACCCCAACCCUUUUAUAUAAGUCUUAUAAAAUAACCUUUUCAUAUUGAUCCUGAUGUAUGUAUAGCACUUUUAACUAACUAUUAUAAGAAAGUUUAAAGGUUAAAAUGAUAAGUUUUGAGGCCACUUAAAUUCUUAUUUCUAAAUAUAAGCAGUUGUUACUUAACGUUUUCUUACACCCCAGCACAUUAUGAACUUCUAUAUAUAUAUUUAAAAAAAAAUUAUGAUGACAAUCCUAUGAAUUAAUUAUGAUACCAAAUUCAGUCAUUCAGUAAAUAAUAAAAUGUCUCCUUAUGUUUUAAGGUGUAGAUAGUUGCUAAAAUUAUACCCUUUGGGUAGUGCUCCACAAUUAAUGGAGGAAUAUACAAGAAACUGAACUGAACUACAUGUAUCAAAUAGUCAAUUAUACAGAAUAUGCACCUUUAUUGGCCCUCCGUUUGUAAGUUACAUGAAACUCGUUUAUUUGAGUUUUUAGUAAUCCAGAUCUCUUAAAUAUCUUCCUAUACAACAGACUAGGACCAAUCAUCAAAUGAGUUAUAAAUAAGGCAGGAUUUCUGUACCUACCCUUUCAUUCAGUGCUUCAAAUGCCUACAAAAGAAAGUUUGCAAAUUCCAUUAAAAAAAACCCGACUUCCAGUUAACCAACCUACCAACAUGCUUUAAUUAAGAGAUCAAAUAUAUCUCUUAUAGUUGGACUAAUCCUGUAGGAUGUAGAUUUACAACUUGCAAACGAACUUAGAUUGAAAUUUAGCCUCACUAUAGAUACGAUGGGACAUUUUUGCUUUUUGCUAGGACUUAUGUGAUUUUUUUCACAGGACGUUUGCACUUAAUCAAAAAAGCAUUUUGAGUUUUGGUGAACUGUGACUUUCCGCAUCCUUCAUACUGCCUAGGACCAACAAGUUUGACCUGACUGAGUAAAUGCCAUACGUACAUUUUUAAAAGUGAUUUCAUAUCCAGAACAAAAUAUAGUUCGCAUUUAUAUAUUUUUAUUCAGCUAUAGCAGUAGAAAUUAUAAAAAACAUGUAUUUAGGACACGUGUAGUCUUCACAAGUCAGUUUAACCUUGACACAUGUUACCCAAAGAUGGAACAAGUGUGGCGAAAUCCGUCUUGACCGGUAUUUAUCUUAGUGUAAUAUAUAUAUCUAGUUUUGAUGUAUAAAAAUUGACAAAUUGCUGGUGAAUGAUACCCUUUCUUCUUACUCUGUACAUGGCCUUUGAUGUUACCUGUAAAUUCGUAGGAAGCAGAAAAUAGUCGUCCUUGUAAUCCAGAACAACUGAAAUUAUCUUUGAUUGUCUUUGUAAAAAAUCUUCAGUAGCCGACUGACGGCGCGUUAUUUUCUGUCAUCAGGGAUGAUUGUGUUAAUUUUUUUGAUGCAAAAUAUUUGUAGUUUCACUGUCCCUUUUACAAAUGUUUAUUCAUGCAUUGCAGAAAGUGAAAUGGGUAACGAAUAGUAUGGAUAAAAAGCAAAACAUGUUUGAUCAAUUUAGUACAUGUGUUUAAAAGUUUAAAGCGAAACUGGCCAUAGUGUUUGGAGCACAAAGUACAAAUUAAACGCAUACGUCUUGCGUCUUAUAUUUAAAAAUGUAGAAAUUUUUGUUAUGACAGUUACCAUUGACGAUAUCAACUCUACACGAGGAAUUUAUAUGAUUCAUCGUCAUGUUUUCAGAAAUUUGUCGCCUUUCAUCAAAUUCACUAUUUGGAAAUAGUUUCCUCGAAAUCAAAAUAUUUUUACACAGUAUAUGUAUACUAUUCCAUUUUGAAAUGAUGUGGGGACUUAGCCCCUCUUUAAUAUAAAUACUUCUAAAUCAUGGACAAAAGCAAACACUUUUAUCUACUUUAGAACUUGUCAAUUUACCACGUGCUUGAAAGGAAUAUUAUGUAGUAUAUUUGUAGGAGGUAGGACAAAUGUCCCUGAAAUUAUUUCUCACUUUUGCUCUUUUCAAACAACUUCUUCGUCCUUUAUAUUUAUUGAUUGUUGGUUGCUUAACGUCCAGUGGCAAAUAUUUCAUAUAUAUCCAGGACGAUCGACCUUUAUAAGAUUUUAUCCAUGUAUCCUAUUUGAUAGCUACAAACAUAAUCUCUGGAAAGUUGUCUCAUUGGCAAUCAUACCGUAUCUCCGGAUUAGAUAUUUUUGUUUUGUGUUUUGAUAGCAUUAUGUAAUGUUUAGGCAGCAACCAUUUGAUUUUCUGGGGGGGGCUAUGGUUUUUUUUUUCUGUGCAAACUUUUUUUUUCGCCUGCGGCGAAAAACAAUCUAUCUAUUUUUUUCUUUCAAUUUUAGCAUUACAUAUGUGCAGCGAGGUGAAACAAACAAUUUUUUUUCUCAAAAUCAAAAACAAAUUAUUUUUUUCUCCAAAAACUGGAAACAAACUUUUUUUUCCAAAAAAAACCAUAGCCCCCCCCCCCAGAAAAUCAAAUGGUUGCUGCCUUAUGAACAUGAAACCAUAUGACAAAGAUGACUCUAAAACAAAAAUUUCAAAAAUAUUUCGAUAGGCGAUUCACAAUGAUUUUAACUUUAACAUUUAAAAAGAAAAAAAAUCAGUGUUUGUUUAACACAUAAGUUUCUAUUUGAUACAGCAAGGUAAUAAUUGACUGAAAGGAAAAUGGUGUAUAUAUAGGAUGAGGGGCGUCCAUUUUACCAUCUCUUACUACUUUGCAUAUAUAUUUUUACAGGUGAUGGGCCUAUUUGAUAUAGUUCACUUUACGGAGGCCUCGUUGGAGAAUAAAGACGACGAACCAUCGGUAUGGGCAUGCUUUGGAUUUUAUCCCAAAGAUGUAACGUACACACAACUUGUUUAUGAUGCUGUUAUGUAUGGCGAGCAUCUUCCCAAACCAAAGAAAGCAAUUGUUAAAUUCCGGAGAUUCAGAGCAGGAACGGAGCAGUUCUGGGAGCCUCGUUUAGAUUCAAAUACACAUGCUGCUGGUGUAGCUAGUGCCUUUACAGAGAAAACUGGGGCGGGCAAAAUUAGUUUUGUUCAGCAGUAUCUUGCCCCCUUAAAAGGAUAUUCUCGUUGGGAUAAAAUUUGUCGGAGUAUGAAACAGUACGAUUUUCGAGAUUUUAAAAAAGAUGAAAUAGUGCUAAUUGAACCUUUACUUUCGGAUACAAUGGUUUUCUUUGAAGGAGAUAUCAUUUUAGAUGCCUUUUCUCAUUUUUCAUUUAUAGAAGGUAAUCAUCAGUCUGUUAUCGCCAUAUUCAAAGGAGUAAAAAGUGGCAAUGAAUAUCAUCUACUAACUCCAAAAAUAUUACAGAAACAAAAGGAAAUUAAUGAAUUUUUCGACGACCAUGCUUGUAACGAUUUGUGCGUUGGCUGGAGCAAGCCUGAUGUUAAGAUUACAACAGAUACACCAUUAUUUCAUAUACCUGCUUCCAGCGAACAUUUGAAACUACAACGACAAACAUCUGUACGAGUCCACGAACCCGGUGAACAUGCCUCACAGAUUAAAAUUCCACACCGCUCACCUGGAAUUUUGAGAAAUCCAUCUGCCCCACCACAGGAGCAAUCAUUGGCAUCAUCGAAGAAAAAAGUGACCACUAUUAUGCAUGCCGUUUAUGUUCAUGAAGAUCCAAAACAGGACGAAAGAGGAAGAAGGGGGUCAGUACUUAAAAACGAUGAAAAAGGGAGACGAGGUUCGCUUAAAAAACAAGACGAGAAAGAGAGGCGUGGGUCAAUUAAAAGAACAAGUGCGCCAUAUGUUGACAAUGCCAUCCGAAAGGACCGAUCCGAUUCACAUGUUCAUGUUCUAAAACGGACUAAUACUGAACAUAGUUCACCAAGUACAAAAAAUAAACCGGUAAGAGUUCAUACUAUGGACGUUCAAAAUGUUAGGAUGCCAAAAAAGAUGAACGCUCAAUCGACAGAAAAACCGGAAAUCAAGCCAAAACCCGAAAUCAAACAAAAACCCGAAGUAAAACCAAAGCCUGAAAUCAAACCGAAACCAAAAUUAAAGAAACAAGAAAGGAUAGACAAUGAAAAUGAUACAGUUACUGACGAUAAAUACGGUGUUCACAAAAUGGCCGUACAAGAUGAACUCAGGUUGCGUUUCUCCAGAAUAGCUAAUAAAGAGAAACAAGACCCUAAGUUAAAAUUACAUGAAAAGCAAACUCAGGAAACUAGAAGUGUACAAAAUCUCCCCGAUAGAUUACCAAAAGUUGUCAACAAAGAACAAAUGUUCCCAAAAUCAAAUCUGAGUGAUAGGCCAUCUGAACAAACAAAUGAUACACCGGAAAGUCAACCGGAAAAAGUUAUCUUAGUACCUCAUUUAGAUAAAAAUGAAUCAGACAAACAAGACCUUCCUAACACUUCAUUGCGGGAACCUAAUAUACAUGUAAAUCCAUCCGGCAUUGCAGCAGCAGAAUCUCCGAAAUGCAAUGACAGUGUCAGUGAAAUCAAAGUAAAGUCUAAAAAAUCUCUUCGGAAACAGGCUACAUUAGCCUCUUAAUGGAUCUCUUCGGAACUUAGGAUCUCGAAACAGGCUUAGCCUCUGUGGAUCUCCUACAUUAGCCUCUGAAAUCUCACAUUAAUCUAAACAGGCUACAUUAGCCUCUUAUCUCUUCGGAAAUCCUCUGAAUGGAACUGCAGCGAUCAUUAGCCUCUUAAUGGAUCUCUUCGGAAACAGGCUACAUUAGCCUCUUAAUGGAUACAUUAUAUAUAUUACAUACCAGUAUUAUUUAGUUACAAUAUGCAAUUGUCCAUUACUACACCUCUACCCGUCUGCCUUAUUAAACAUGUUUUUGACUCGAAACUUGUAAUGUAUUUGUCCAGAGAGGCGAUUUAAGUGUUGCGUAAUAUUUACUGCGAAAUUCUUAUUAAACCAGGGUUUUGAGACCUGAUGUUGAGACCUGCCUAUUUUAUUUAUUACUUGUUU
rnacentral:lncRNA from 1 species